CAUCUUCGUGUUGGUAUGACCAAUUUAAAAAAAUUUACACGCAUAGAAUAUGUUGGAUUACCCGCUGAACUUAAGCAUAUUAUUAAGCGGAGGAAAAGAAACCAACUGGGAUUCCUUUAGUAAGGGCGACUGAAAAAGGAGAAGAUCAUCCCUGAAUCCUAAAUGAAUGGGAGUUGUAGGGUUUGAACUAAUUUUAAGGUAAUGUUCUAUAUUCUAAGUUUUCUGGAAUGUGAUGCCAUAGAGGGUGAUAGCCCCGUAUGAGUAUUUGGACGUUAUUUAUAGAGGUUAGUUUCUAGAGUCGGGCAGUUUGAGAGUAAUGCCCUAAGUGGGAGGUAUAUCACUUCUAAAUCUAAAUAUAACAUGAGACCGAUAGUGAACAAGUACCGUGAGGGAAAGAUCAAAAGAACUUUGAAAAGAGAGUUAAAAGAACGUGAAAUUGGUAUUGGGGAAGCACUUUGUCGCGUAAUUGUCGAGGCAUAUUCUGGCUGGAUGGUGGCUUGGAUAUUUUAUAUAGGGUUCUAUAAAGGAUUCUAUAUGAGGCUAUCUCUGUUAUCGAAGGUCAUAUUUAUGUCGUGACAGGAAAAUGUCGAUUCUUUUUGUGGGAAAAAAAUAUGUAUGGGUACCCAUUCUUCGGUUUGGAGUAUCAUAUAUGUUCAUUACCAUAAGAUGGAUCGAGGGGAUUUACAAAUGUUUAUUUCAAAGUCAUUUUCCAAUUAUAAACGAGACAAAUUGUCCCGUCUUGUAACACGGACCAAGGAGUGCAACAUACAUGCAAGUAGAAGGGAUAUAUAAACCCAACUGCGAAAUGAAAGUGAGAGGUAUGAAACCUGACGGUCAAACGUUUGGUGGCAAUAUCGACCGGCCCUAAUGUUUAUCAGAGGGGAUUGAGUUAGAGCAUAUAUGUUGCGACCCGAAAGAUAGCGAACUAUGCCUGGGUAGGUUGAAGCCAGGCGAAAGUCUGGUGGAGGACCGAAGCAAUUCUGACGUGCAAAUCGAUUGUCAAAUCUGGGUAUAGCGGCGAAAGACUAAUCGAGCUAUCUAGUAGCUGGUUCCUUCCGAAGUUUUCCUCAGAAUAGCUGAAACUUUUUAUACAGUUUUGUUUGGUAAAGCGAAUGAUUAGAGGCAUUGGGGACGAAAUGUUCUCGACCUAUUCUCAAACUUUAAAUGAGCAAAGAUCCUAUUUACUUAGUCGAAAUGGGUUUAGAAUGGAUAGUUUUUAGUGGGCCAUUACUGGUAAGCAGUACUGGCGAUGCGGGAUGAACCGAUCGUGAAAUUAAGGGGUCAAAAUCCACGCUAAUCAGACACCACAAAGGGUGUAGGUUCAUAUUGACAGCAGGACGGUGGCCAUGGAAGUCGGCAUCCGCUUAGGAAUGUGUAACAACUCACCUGCCGAAUGAACCUGCCCCGAAAAUGGAUGACGCUGAAGCGUGGUCCCGAUGUUUUGCCUUUAGAGAAGAAUUAUUCUCUAAAGAGUAGGAAGGUGCAAAGGUUCCGCUGAAGCUUCAGGGUGACCUGGAGUGAAGGGGCCUUUGGUACAGAUCUUGGUGGUAGUAGCAAGUAUUCAAGUGAGAAACUUGAAGUUUGAAGUGAGGAAGGGUUCCACGUGAACAGUAAUUGUACGUGGGUGAGCCGGUCCUAAUGCACAGCGUAACUGUUUAAAAAAUGAGUUUGAUGAAAGCUUAUGUUGGCAGAAAGGGAAGCAGGUUAAUAUUCCUGCGCUAGAAGUAUUAUAAAAGUAAGGACCACGCGGUAACGCAUUUUAAAUUGGUGUAACGAUGACGCUAGCGGGCAUCCUGGGAAGAGUUCUCUUUUCUAUUUAACGACCUAAUGCGCAAGCAGAGUAGUCCUGUUUAAUCGGAUUAUCCGGAGAUCAGGAUUUACAGGUCGGCAUAGCCAUGUAUUUUUUACAUGGUCCGGUGUAUGCUCCUAGCCCUUGAAAAGUCGUUCAUGUCAAAACGAGCCCUAUUAUACUUGAUGAUAUAUUCUAACCGUACCGAUAACCGCAUCAGGUCCUCAAGGUGAGCAGCCUCUAAACGAUAAAAUAAUGUAGGUAAGGGAAGUCGGCAAAAUAGAUCCGUAACUUCGGGAAAAGGGUUGGCUCUAGAGGUCGAGUCGAACUAUGGGAUGGAAAGACGAUUCAGGUGAAUGUGGAUGAGUAAAAUUGACUAUAUGAAUCUGGAUUGUAAGGAAACCUCGGAAAGCGGCAAUUUAAGGGUUUACUCUUAAAACAUAACGACUGAUCUAGAACUGGUACGGACAAGGGGAAUCCGACUGUUUAAUUAAAACAAAGCAUUGCGAUGGUCCCUGCGGAUGCUAACGCAAUGUGAUUUCUGCCCAGUGCUCUGAAUGUCAAAGUGAAGUAAUUCGACCAAGCGCAGGUCAACGGCGGGAGUAACUAUGACUCUCUUAAGGUAGCCAAAUGCCUCGUCNNNNNNNNNNUUAGUGACGCGCAUGAAUGGAUUAACGAGAUUCCCACUGUCCCUAUCUACUAUCUAGCGAAACCACAGCCAAGGGAACGGGCUUGGCAAAAACAGCGGGGAAAGAAGACCCUGUUGAGCUUGACUCUAGUCUGACUUUGUGAAAUGUCUUUGGAGAUGUAGAAUAAGCGGGAGGGUAACCGAUCUUGAAAUACCGCUGCUCCAAACGAUAUCUUACUUAUUCAAUAAUGAAAGGAAUGUUGGUAAAACAACAUAAUUCUAGUAUUAAAUGGUAUAUUGAAAUUACCCUGACUUUGGUUGAUGACAUUGUCAGAUUGGGAGUUUGGCUGGGGCGGCACAUCUAUUAGAUUACAACAUAGGUGUCCUAAGAUAAACUCAGCGAGGACAGAAACCUCGCGUAGAGCAAAAGGGUAUAAGUUUGUUUUAUUUUGAUUUUCAGUAAUAAUCGAAAACGGGAAACCGUGGCCUAUCGAUCCUUUGUGCCUCCGUGAUUUGGAGCCAAAGGUGUCAGAAAAGUUACCACAGGGAUAACUGGCUUGUGGCAGCCAAGCGUUCAUAGCGACGU
rnacentral:rRNA from 1 species